GGACUACCGGGGUUUCUAAUCCCGUUUGCUCCCCACGCUUUCGCGCCUCAGCGUCAGUACCGGUCCAGUGAGCCGCCUUCGCCACUGGUGUUCCUCCCAAUAUCUACGCAUUUCACCGCUACACUGGGAAUUCCACUCACCUCUCCCGGUCUCAAGCCCAGCAGUUUGGAGGGCAGUUCCCCGGUUAAGCCGGGGGAUUUCACCUUCCACUUGCCAGGCCGCCUACGCGCCCUUUACGCCCAAUAAUUCCGAAUAACGCUUGCCCCCUCUGUAUUACCGCGGCGGCUGGCAC
rnacentral:rRNA from 1 species